UACGUAGGGGGCAAGCGUUGUCCGGAUUUAUUGGGCGUAAAGAGCUCGUAGGCGGCUUGUCGCGUCGUUCGUGCAAACCCGGGGCUCAACUCCGGGCUUGCGGGCGAUACGGGCAGGCUAGAGUUCGGUAGGGGAGACUGGAAUUCCUGGUGUAGCGGUGAAAUGCGCAGAUAUCAGGAGGAACACCGGUGGCGAAGGCGGGUCUCUGGGCCGAUACUGACGCUGAGGAGCGAAAGCAUGGGGAGCGAACAGG
rnacentral:rRNA from 1 species